GAUGAAGAACGUAGCGAAAUGCGAUAAGUAAUGUGAAUUGCAGAAUUCAGUGAAUCAUCGAAUCUUUGAACGCACAUUGCGCCCGCCAGUAUUCUGGCGGGCAUGCCUGUCUGAGCGUCAUUUCAACCCUCAUGCCCCUAGGGCGGGGUGUUGGGGAUCGGCCAAAGCCCGCGAGGGACGGCCGGCCCCUAAAUCUAGUGGCGGACCCGUCGUGGCCUCCUCUGCGAAGUAGUGAUAUUCCGCAUCGGAGAGCGAUGAGCCCCUGCCGUUAAACCCCCAACUUUCCAAGGUUGACCUCAGAUCAGGUAGGAAUACCCGCUGAACUUAAGCAUAUCAAUAAGCGGAGGA
rnacentral:misc_RNA from 1 species